rnacentral:lncRNA from 1 species
GGAUGAAGUAUAUUUAUUUCCCCUGAGAAAUAACUCUAUAUUUAGGAAGAAUAUACUGGAUUUAUUUAGUUACCUUCUGAGUUCAGAUUCAUAGCCCCACUCUCCUUUCCCCUCCCCUCAAAAGAGAAUUCCAAUAAACAGACUGAGAAAGCACUCUGUCUGUGUGCCAGGUGGUUAUUUACUCAGCAGGAGUUAAUGGAGCUCUGGGUAAUGAAGCCCCAUAUUCAGGACGUUGGUUUGCUCCUGUAACAGCACCACAGCUUCUUGCUUUGUCCUCACUCUGCUUCCACCUCUGGUGUUAUGUUCUUGCAAAGCCUCACAUAGGCAUACUUGUGCUCAUUGGGAGCUUGGUUGAGUUUUGCAAGUUAAAAAUCAAUAUAAGCCAGGCAGAGAUCGAUUUGAAAGUAUCCCUGCAAGAGAAAGACACCCUAAUUUAAUUGACUUUAAGAAUUGCACUUUUAGUUAAACUCCCUGUGUAAAUCAAAAAUCUUGUGAACAAGACCACAAAGAAUUAAGUGACUAAAUUCUCAAAUCCCUAUUCAUAAACUCCCACCAAGCGCAAUGCAAACCUUCACCAGGCGGAUAUUAAAGCCCGCACUGUUAGGACCCUAACUCUAAAUGCACAAUGAAUGCAGUCCAAAGCCUUGGAGAGUGGUGGGAAGAUGUGAAGGGUGAGGUAGCUGCACAGCUGCAUCUGUUCAGCUGGCACCAGCACAGGAGCUGGAGCACAGGCAUCUCUCAGGAUGUAAUCCCCCUUUGCUGCUGCAGCAGGGAAAGCAGGCCUGACUGCUGACUUACAAGACGGCAGUUGUCUUCUGUCCUCUGAAGUCCCAGCAAGGUGAGCAGCCCUUUCCUAAACUCCCUAGAGCCUAAAAAGAGUGAAGCCACCUACUGAGAAGGAAACAAUAGGCUGAAAAUCAAAGCCAUUCAGCUAAUAUGUUUCAAAGAAAGUACUUUUAAAAGAACAAUGUGUAAAUUUAUUGAGUGGCUCAUAGGAAAAUAAAUGAAACCCAGUGACUGCCA